rnacentral:tRNA from 1 species
GGGUGUAUAGCUCAGUUGGUAGAGCGAUGGUCUCCAAAACCAUAUGUCAUCGGUUCGAUUCCGGUUGCACCUG